CCUAGUUCGAUGCUAGCUUGCCCUGCUUGUCUGAUUGGAAAACUUCUGCUUGACAUUGGACCAGAUCACCAACCCUAAAAUAUUUGCUCUUGAUCCGAGAGUUAUAAUACUGGACCACCCGGUGUUGGUAAGCAGCCAUUCUGAUUUAAGCCCUUUCUUGGGCUUCCACCAGCAAAUCCAAGUCUGCACGGAGUCUUUCCACAUUAGUUUGCUCAUCAUAAUUCUUG
rnacentral:lncRNA from 1 species